AUUGCAAUGAUCUAAACUAUCAAAAUUCUCAUCGAGCGUUAAUCUCAUUGUCUCUCUGAAUUUUUAGACUAUUUUAAAAUGUUUAAGGGUUGAUUUAUUUGAUAGAUGAUUGAGUUAAAAAAUGAGUUUGAUCGGUUGGAUGAUUUUUUGAUUAUGUCACUUUCUGUUAAAUUGAAUCUAAUCACGCUCGCAUAUGAUUUACUAAUUAAGAAUUAACAUAAUUUUUUAUAAAAUUCAAG
rnacentral:misc_RNA from 1 species